rnacentral:rRNA from 1 species
GGAUUGGGAUAUAUCGAUCAUGGCUUUAGGGACAUGAAUCGGUAUGUGGUCAAUUCUCACCUUCUGGUGAAUUGGGAUGCUCUCGGGUGUUUCGAUGAACCAGGACUUUUACUUUGAAAAAAUUAGAGUGUUUAAAGCGGGCAUUUUUGCUUGAAUAUAUUAGCAUGGAAUAAUAAAAUAGGACGAUGGUUCUAUUUUGUUGGUUUUAGGACCACGUA